rnacentral:lncRNA from 1 species
ACACGCAUUGGCAAGAUUUAAAUAAAGAAGAGCUGAAAGAAUGGAAAAGAAGAAGGCAUUUGGUGUUACAAGGAAACUCGGUCAAUGGUGAGUCUAAGCCGGAUAGACAAUACAUGAAUUGGUUUUUAUCAAUUCCUUUUAUGCACGUUGCUCCGACACAAUUUUUGGAUGAUCCCCGUCAACGUGUAGCUUCCGCAACCCAACACA